rnacentral:lncRNA from 1 species
AGGGAGGAAUGGCUACGUGGUUUGAUACAAGGCAGAGUUGAUUAGAAUUGAAGUAUCUACACUUUUUAUGAAUUUUAAAUCUGCUGCACUUGUUGUACAAACAAUAUUUUUUCUUUGAAUUAACAUUCAAUUCAAAAAAAAAUAUGUAUUUUGACUUUUAAAAAUCUUCAAUAGCUUAGUUAAUUUUUGAAUUGAUUUUGUGGAGGGAAAAAACUUAUGUUCCAAAUUCUUUUGAUCUUUUUAAAAAUAUUAAUUAUUUCAGUUAAUAAAUUUUUUAGGAACAUUAAUUAAUAAAUUCAUAUUACUUUUUUCCUUUCAGUCCAAAAGCAU